GGCACACGCUUGCUCCCCACUGUGCCAUUCCCCUCUCCCCUCGCCUCCUCCUCUCCCGAGUCCCUGCGCCGCCGGCUCCUCCCCUUCUCUUACGCCUUCUCCUCCCCAUUCCUCUCAUCUCCCUGCCUGGGUUACAGCCGCCGCCCUCGCCCCAGGUGAGUUGUUGCUGGGGGCGGGGCGGGGCGGGCUGGUGCCCUCGAGUUUGCCAUUAAGGAAGCCGUGGGUGGAGGUGAGACGCUGCUGGAGUUCAAGGUGGCUGAACGCCACGACGGGGCAACAGAUCGGCAGCCUGCGGCCCGGACCUCAGGUCCAGUUCAUGUUAAUUACCCGAAGCUUGGCGAGUUGUGGUGGUUAAUAAUUCCAUUUGCUUUGACGACACUAGAUCAUUAGUCACGGGAUGUUAAGGCAUUGCUUCCACAACUAUGCCAAGGACAUUGGCUUCAUCAAGGUAUGAGGCACCCCACUAUUUAUUGAUUUCCUUAAUCAUGUGCCUGAGUUUGAUGACUGCUGAGUAGUAAUAUGUUACCCCAUGCUUUGCUUUGAACAAUAUAUAUGCUUUGUCUACAAGGCCUCUUGGUAUGCCGCACCAAUUUUAAUUUGUUGGAGACUACCAUCUGGUAGUGUGAGUUAUUAAAUAAUGUAGUGUGAUGUAUGACAUGUUGGAUUCACUUAUUCAGAAUAGAUCUAUGUAUUGCCCUCCUCAUUCCCGGAGUAAACCCAGUUAAGUUCUGCAAUCAUCACUUCAUGUUCUGCCUUGCAUUACUUUGUAUCUGUUUGAACAAUAUGUGUAAUUUCUACGCACCAUAAGUCAACUUGGAAUGGACCUAGUUGUGCAUGACUACAUGAUAGCUUUGUUUGUUUGUUAUUCCCACCUAUAUAAGUCUUACUCUGCUGCAUCUAUCUCCAGUCUCGGCUAUUUUACUAACUGUCAACUACCAAGUUUUUCCUGAGCAUACCAGUCCAUUUCAAAGCACAACAAAUCGAGUGUAUUGCAAUUGCUCAAAUAUUUAUUAAGUAGGUAUAUAUACAUUGUAUAUAUUUAUUUCCUGAAUAACGAUGAUUUAUUAGAAGUUAAGAUGAUUUUCCUUUUGAAGAAUUUUGUUUCCAUUUCCAUUUUAUCUCAUUAACUAUAGGUUUUAUGCUUCAGUUUUUAGGGUUGGGUAAACUAUUGUUCAGAUGCAUGUGUUAUGUUUGAAUACCUGAAUGUCCGUGUGUAACUAAUUUCUUGUAUUCCUUUUAUUUUGCAUAAUCCCAAACUAAUUAUACUGAUAGCUGCAUUUGUGCUCUUGUUUAACGGUACCGUUAAGAAUGGAACCUCAAAGGAAGCAAGGACUAUGAAGUUAUCAUCAAACUGUGGUGUUUCAACGAGGACGAUCUUUAUCAACAAUGAGGGUUGAAUUAGAUCUUCACAGACAAAUACAUCUUUAUGUAAUAAAAAUGUUGAUAUGAUGAUCGGGAGGAGUUGCAGAAGAUAGAUUUCAAAUGGCUUGAAUAAGAAGAGAUGCAGAUCACUAUUCUAGACAGACUUUGAAGGAUGAAGAAUAAAGAACACUCUAUGAUCAGGGAUUGCAAAAGAGUGGCAUUUAAAAGGCAGCUGGCAUUUGAUGAAUUGCUGAAUGGUGGUGGUUGCACACCAUGGGGGACAGUGUUCCAAGAGAGGUCUCAAAGAUGGUUAGAGAUUAGGCAGUCCAACGUCAAACAUGAUUGUGCUGAUGUCUGGGUUUCGGCUUGGUGGUGAGGUGCUUGAGGUCGCGGCUCUGCGUCAGGAACCUCCUCUUGAGCGGGCUUGUACUUCAUGGUGGUGAGGUCUAUCUUGAUGGUAGACCAGUUGGUUGAUUAAAUGCCAGUAGGAGCAGCUCAGUGAACCACUGAUGUAGUCUCACUGUGCAUCAGUAUUGUUGACCUCAACUUGUCUAUUCAUAUGAUCCAUGUAUCGUAUUUAGUUUCUCUCUUAAGACUUGGUAUGCCUGUGUUCUGGUGAUCCGAGGAACUCUGCCUCUCUUUUGGAGAUCAUCCACCUUUUGGAGACUGUUAAACCUUGAUUUGAAAAUCUGGAUGUGUCUAUGACGAGUCA